rnacentral:tRNA from 1 species
GGAUGAUUAGCUCAGCUGGUUAGAGUACCUGCUUGACGUGCAGGGGGUCACAGAUUCGAAUUCUGUAUCAUCCACCA